rnacentral:rRNA from 1 species
CCUACGGGUGGCAGCAGUGGGGGAUUUUGGACAAUGGGGGAAACCCUGAUCCAGCGACGCCGCGUGAGUGAAGAAGUAUUUCGGUAUGUAAAGCUCUGUCAGCAGGGAAGAAAAAAAUGACGGUACCUUACCAAGAUGCCCCGGCUAACUACGUGCCAGCAGCCGCGGUAAUACGUAGGGGGCAAGCGUUAUCCGGAAUUACUGGGUGUAAAGGGAGCGUAGACGGUGAUGCAAGUCUGGAGUGAAAGGCUGGGGCCCAACCCGCAGACUGCUCGUGAAACUGGGUAACUUGAGUGCAGUAGAGGUGAGCGGAAUUCGUAGUGUAGCGGUGAAAUGCGUAGAUAUUAGGAGGAACACCAGGGGCGAAGGCGGCUUACUGGACUGUAACUGACGUUGAGGCUCGAAAGCGUGGGGAGCAAACAGGAUUAGAUACCCUAGUAGUC